rnacentral:tRNA from 1 species
UUCCCUGUAGCUCAGUUGGUAGAGCAUGGUGUUUGCAAUGCCAGGGUUGUGGGUUCGAUUCCCUCAGGGGGUC